GCAGAGCUCAGGAUGACCUUCACGAUGGCCUGGUCCUGUCUCCUCUUCACAUUCCUUGUUCAGUGCACAGGGUCCUGGGCCCAGUCUGUGCUGACUCAGCAGCCCUCAUUGUCUGGGAAUCCUGGACAGACAGUCACCAUCUCCUGCUCUGGAAAUAACAACAACAUUGGUAUCUUUGGUGUGAGCUGGUAUCAGCAGCUCCCAGAAACGGCCCCCAAACUCCUCAUCUAUGGUGAUAGUAAUCGACACUCAGGGGUCUCUGAUCGCUUCUCUGGCUCCAGGUCUGGCAACUCUGGUUCACUGACCAUCACUAGGCUACAGCCUGAGGAUGAGGCUGACUAUUUCUGUCAGUCUUAUGACAGUAGCCUCAGAUCUCUCACAGUGCUUCAAGCUCAUGGGGAAGUAAGACAAGAACCCCUUUACCAUCUGUUAGGAGAGCAAACACUAUGCAGCUUUGCUCAGGCCUGGUCUCUGGAUUUUUCUGCAACCUUUCAUUAUAGGUCCAGCUGA